AAAAAAAAAACGUGCAAAAAGAAAAAAAAAAGUAUUAAUGACUAAAAAUAAUAAUAAAAGUGUAACUUAAUCCGAUGGAAUAACGAUUGAACUCGUUUAUCUUUUUUCAUGUAUACAUUCCUUCUCCAAAAGUUUAUUACCCUGGUCUGGGAAUCGUUGAGAUGAACACAAAUUUUAGAAGGAGCUACUUCGUUAUAUUACUUCUGCAUUUAAAGAAACUGAAAUGAAAAAAACUCUAAACGUUCAGUGGAAAUUAUUCUCAAGUGGUGACGAUAAACAUACCAGAGAGUUGACGAGUUUAAAUCUCUUAAGAGAGAAUUUAUUUCAUUGUGUCACAAUAAUCUAUCAAUGUAAUGUCCACGUUCACGACAGUGUGUAAACGGAAACAAAAAAAAAAAAAAAAAAAAGAAACAAAAAGAAAAUUACAUAUAUAGAAAAUAGUAACUAAAAGUAUAAUUGUCUAAAAAAAAAAAAAAAAAAAAAAGAAAAAACAGUAUAAGAAGAACAACAAUGGGGAGGAAAAAAAAUUUCGCUCGAGUUAUGCUAAAAUCACAGUAAUUGUCAGAGAUUAAAUUGGACACCUGAUGGUUAAUCGGUGUAAUGAACGAAUAAUGAUCGUCAGUCCGAUUUAACGAAUAAAAAUAUAUGGCAGUCAUACCACAUUGACGUGUUCUUUUCUUUUUUCUAAUCGCAUUUGUAUCUGCUUUUAUUGUUUUCCUUUUUUUUUCGCUUUUUGUUUUUGUUUUUUUUU